rnacentral:lncRNA from 1 species
UCACAAAUUUUUGUUGCUAUAUAUGUUACUUCUGAAAUUUGAACGGGUUUGGAGGAUCGUCGUUUUGGCUCUGUGAGUUGGUGCAGAGACUUGUUGAUUCAUUGCUCUAUCGUAUCUGCUGUGUUAUCUCUGAAGAUGGAUUUCCAUGGUUAUGUUUUUGGUUCUUCCUUUUCUUUGGAUUUGAAGCUUAAUUGCAACGAAUUUGAGUUGAUUUCUGCAAUUUUAGAAACUUUUGAAGAUUCCAUAUAUGUACAAUUCUUGAGGUUUGUCUUUCAAGCUCAUCAGAUUUUGUCGAAGGUUAGACUGUUUGAUUUGAAAGAUUUA